GACGAACGCUGGCGGCGUGCUUAACACAUGCAAGUCGAACGAUGAACCCGGAGCUUUCUUUGUGGGAUUAGUGGCGAACGGGUGAGUAACACGCGAGUAACCUGCCCUGGACUCUGGGAUAAGCGUUGGAAACGCCGUCUCAUACCGGAUAUGAUCUUGUAUCCCAUGUUCUUGGGUGGAAAGUUUUUUCGGUCUGGUAUGUCCUCGCGGCCUCUCAGCUUGUUGGUGAGGUAAUUGCUCACCCAGGCGUCGACGGGUAGCCUGCCUGAGAGGGAGACCGGCCACGGUGCAAAUGAGACAGGGAGGAGACAGUAGCGGGAGGCAGCAGAGGGGAAUAUGGCACAAGGAGCAAAAGCCUGAGGGAGCAAAGCCGCGUGCGGGAUGACAGCCUUCGUGUUGUAGACCGCUUUUAGUAGGGAAGAAGGGGUACGGCUUGACGGUACCUGCAGAGAAAGGAACGGCUAACUACGUG
rnacentral:rRNA from 1 species